AAGUAUUUUUCUUACCAACGGAAGCAAGAAUAUUGCUUAUGACAGACUGCUUUGUCCCUCACAGUUCAACACCGUGGUGGAAAAGGUGAAGCCCGUCUCCAUGGAGACGGAGAUGGGGGGAGCUGUGACGUGAGAGGUAAUUUCGCGCAGCACAUGUGGAGACCGGAACACGUAGACAUUCGACUCGGUUUUCGUCUGCAACGGGCAUUACUCCAACCCCCACCUGCCCUACAUUCCUGGAAUAGAGCAUUUUAAAGGGAAAGUCUUACACAGCCAGAGCCCUUCACCAACAAGUCCGUUGUGGUCUUGGGGGCCAGAGCAUCCGGUGUGGAUAUUU